UAUGGUUUGGGCUCAGUGGUAGAGCACUUGCCUGGCAUGUGUGAGGCCCUGGGUUCAGUCCUCAGCACCAUAU
rnacentral:tRNA from 1 species